UUCGGUGGUCAUUGCGUUAGGGAAACGCCCGGUUACAUUCCGAACCCGGAAGCUAAGCCUUUCAGCGCCGAUGGUACUGCAG
rnacentral:rRNA from 1 species